GCCGAAAUAUAGCUCCAGUGGAGAGCGUUAAGACUGAAGAUCCAAAGGUCCCUGGUUCAAUCCGGGUUUCGGCA